GUUAAUUGUCUAGCUUCUCGCCGUUCGAUUACACCCGGAGUCGUUGGUGCGAUUGCUCGUUAGGCAUUAUCGAUCAACGCGCUGCCAUCGCACGGCUCAUUUUCUUCUUUAGAUCAAGUCGUUGGACGUUUCGACGGGAUUCGAUUUUUAAGAAACUCGCGUUUAAGCGUGAACAAAUAUUUGCUGAUCGAUCGAAUAUCGUUUUCGAGAUUUCCCAACAAAGAUCGUAUAUCGUUGGUGUGGUGUCAAUUUUACAAGAAUCGACAGCGAAUAGAAAUUUUUUCACCGUUAGCCUCGCGGUAAGGUAUAAAUUCUCCGCGCCUUUCUUUCGUUACACGCGUUUCCUGUCAAGUAGCGAAACAGAUACAACAGCGAGAUCGCAACCGCGUAGAAGAACGUAACGCCUUGAUCACGAGAGUUCGAGGAAUCCGUUCCAAGGUGGAUGGAGUACGAGUAACGAGAUCAAGGAAUGCACCGCUCUCUCGCACGACCAUCGAUAGCUGAUCACGAACGUUUCCGCGUUAUACCGAGAAAAUCGUGCCUCGGAAACUUUAUGAUUCGGUAGAUCGAUUUAUUAUACAUUAAAAGGCAAGUACCGUGUCAAUGAGAAAGUAAAACUUGGCAUCGCGCUAAAGAAGAAAUCGAAACACCGUUAACAUCGGCAAUGUCGAUCUGCGAUGAAUAUGUAUAUAAAGAGCAGCCCUCUGGGGAUGUGAUAUUUUUCGGGCUGAUGCGAAACUACCGAGAGCUACAGAGUCAUUACCGUAAUUAAUUACGUCAUCGAUCAAUCACGGUGACAUUAAAAACAACGCACAACAGCGACGAUUAAGAGUGAUCGAUACCGAGCCCAUCGUCAUUAAACUAAUCUUUAAUGAACACGCGGACGAGAGGCGUUCCAACGAAACGAGAAAUUCUCGCGUCUUCGCUGUCUGCCAGUCCCUGUACUUUCGAGCGCGUCAACGCGAAAAAGGAAGAAGAAAGUUGACGUUCCCUCGAGCAACGGAACUUGAUUUCUUGAUAAAAGGCAUGCGAGAGUUCGUAUUCCUCGGGGUGGUUUCUAGAAGGUGGAUGCAACCAUUCAAGCUGUAUAGAAUAGCUUGCACAAGGAGGAGAGUAAACCGGGGGAAAGAGUGGACGGAAAAAUCGAUAGCGAACGAAGGAAAGGAAAGGAAAGGAAAGGAAAGGAAGAAGGAGAAGAGGGAGGAGCGAGGAUCUCGAUGAUGAUAAAUGCUUCCUGCGGAGAAACGUGAUUUAUGCCGUCAUUAGAAUAGUUGCCACGAACCUCUCGUGUAGGUGGUGCAUAAUGAUCGCUACCACGGACCACUAUGUACAUGCAAACGCUCUCCAUGGCUAUCCGAGAAGUUGACUUUUACAAAAAAGGCUCCCGUUGCUCGAUGAUUGCGACGCCCAUAAACACAGUUCGCGACGGUACAUUGGUUACUUACUAUCCCCGUAUCCGCGUGUUCGAGGCCUACUGCGUGUUUCGAAUCUUCCAGCGACUAACCACUCCGGGGGACGUUUCGUUCGAGUUUUCGAGGAUGAUCGUUCGAUCGAGCCUCUUUCCAAACCCUCCACCGCACCGAGCCAAUUCCGCUCUCGUCGAUCGAUCUUAGAACUUUGGAAUUGCCCGUAGAUCCUAUGCAAAUCCUCGAAUACUCUUAGCAAGAUUUUCAUCGCGAUUUUUACCGUUUUAAACGUUUCGAAGGUCUGAUCGGAAUCUACGGAAUCCACGAAAUAUGGUAUGCGUAGCGAAGCUUCUCACGAUUCUCAGAGUCUCGGGAGAAAGCGAGUGGAUGGUAGCGCACGGUACGGCUAACCUUUCAUCAACGUUUUUUCCCACUGGUGGAGAUGAGUUGGGCGAUCGAUUAAAAGCUUAAUUACCGAAUGUAAUAAGGACCACCCAUCGUUCAUUUAGAUCCAUCAAAAUAGAUACGCAUUAAUUGGACGAGGGGCAGCUCUCCUCUGAUUACCUACUACCGAUAAUUAUAUGUUAACCACGUAUUCAGAUCCGGCUCGGCACGUACUCUAGAGAACCUGUUCCCCUACAGCGGCGAACAUUGAAUCAAAUUGCGUACGCGUGCAAGUGUGUAUACCAACUGUAUUCACGCCUCCUAACCUUUCGCUGGUGGCUAGAUCUACGCGUAAAUAAUUAAUUGCGGUUGGUCCCUACUAGAUCGAAGCCAUUGCAGCCACCGAUCGUUGGCUUUCGUUUCUCUUACCACUGUCCAUCGUAAUUCUAUUUCUUUCCUUCGCUAUGGAUUCGACAGUGGUUCGCGCUUCGGAGUAUACGAUAUACCGAUCGUUUCGCGAGAAACUUGUAACUUAUUCUCCGAAAUUCUGUUGGCUUCGGUAACUCUCGCUAGAUCGUGCUACGACGUUAAAAAAAAAUUGCUCGUUCGUUCUAACCUGGCUUGAUAUUAUGUCUGUUAGAUUAGGUAAGAUCGAGUAAAUCGAGACACGUUUCGAUCGAGUAUCGUUAGCCUGUACUCGAAACAUUCUUGUUUACCACUAAUUACAUAUAUGGUAGGGACAAAAAGAAUACAGUAAAAUGGUUCAAUUCUCGAAAAAACCGGUAUCGGGAUGAGAAAAUUAGACCGAGACGCUGAAAUCGAUCGGUACGCGUAAACUUUUGAAAGGCAAAUCGCUACUCUUUAUCCCUUCCUAUGGUUAUUUCCGAUUUUUCCAUAUACACGCCACGUUAUACGCGCCAAAUUACAAAUUCUGAUCGGAAUAUAAUCUUUCACUGCCGUCCUUCGCGUUAAGUAGAGCAGAGGGUUCUAUAAAUGGAUAUAGAUAAUUUAACCGACAAAGAAAACACGCGAAACGAUAGACAUUCCAAAAAGUUCGAAUACACGUUCGAAUUAAAAAAUCAAUCGAUGAAUGACUUGAUAUACACCCUGAAAUCGAUAGCUCGAAUAUAAAAAGAUAUCUUGCUUUUUUAUAACGUAUCACCAUCACCAGGGUUUCGUUCGGCUAAAAAUUCUAAGAAACUAAAUCAACGCGUGAUUCUCAAGCCCAUUUAGUUGCUCGACGUCUCUCAUUACCGCGAGACAGACCCAUAAAUAAUAAUCGAAGCGGUUUAUUAGAGGCUUAUAAGCAGCUUAUAAGCAGUUUAUAAGCGCGACGCGUCAUCUCUUCUUUUUCCGCGAUUCUUCUCUUUCAAUUGGUAGCUCGACAGCCACAAUAACAACCUAUAACGGGAUGCUGCUUCUAGCUCCGGGAUAACCGUUGAAUAUUUCUUCCACGAGAUAUUUCUUCUUUUUACAUCAACGAUAUUUGCGAAAUAAGUAGAUUCCUCAAAGCGAUUGCGUUCUACGUUCGCUUCGCUUAAACGUAUUCAACCGAGUUAACCUAAUUUCCGUUAAUACUCUUUGAUCUGGAAAAAAUUUAGAUUUUGUCAGGAGGUUAAAGACUCGGGAACAGGUAUCGAUAAACUUGACGUUUCGCGAGAGCAAGGAAGACGCAAAUUCGAGUACGCGGCAUUUUCGACGACACGGCGGUUUUCUGGCAAAUCGAAGAUUCGCAUCGUCGACGACGAUCCCUGUCUUUUCGCGAACAGUUCUUUCGACGUUAACGACGCAAUCACGUCUUAUGGGUAUAUAAACGCGAUUUGUUAAAGCAGGAGGCGUACCUCACGCGAGAAGAUGCAUGUCCAUGGCGCAUUUUGCAGCCGGCGUGACCGAGCCUAUCGUACCUCGCGAUCAUUCCUGGAAAUUUAAUAGACGCGUUCCGCCGUUUCUUGAUUCUUCCACGACGAUAUCCGCUAGCGACGAGAACUUCGUGCAAUUCGAGAUAACGAACAAAGAAACCACGCUUUUCGGUAGCGUCCAAACGAUACCAACAAACCAUCCGGUUUCUCUUGUUCUCCUAUUCUCGUCAGCGACGAAUCGCGGUUCCUAUUUCUUCGCAAAGAAAACCAUGGCAAGAUUCGUCGAUCUGAACGAUAGUGCUAGUGUUAGGCCUUGCUGUGCUCGUUAGAGAUAGGUAGACCGAUAUUUGGAAUUUGUUAACGUUUCACGAACAUAGAGCAAGCAGAUAGUUGGAAGUAUUAUGUGUGGUCUUUGGAAUAACGCGAACAUAUUUCGCUUCGCGUAUAGCAGCAGUGAAUCGAUCGUAAAAAUUCUGCGAGAUAAAAAUGUUGAUUAAACACGGUACAACUUCUUUCUUAUAAAGAAAAAUUCACUGUUUCGAGUGGUUCGGAGCGAUCGAUCUUUCGUCGUUCGAUUCAACAAAUAGGAUUUAUCGAAACAAAUGUAAGCGACCUAAUCGACUGCCAUUUCACAUUUGGUGGCCUCUCAGAGAGAUUUGGCCAGGACAUUGUUCGAAGAAGGUUCCACCGGUUCGAUCCUAAUAUCAUCGAGCUAUCCAAUAAACGUAAUGCCGGGCUUUGAAAUGUCCCGUGCCCGUAAGCCACUCAAGAUAACAAAGGGAUCACGGUACAGCAUCUUGCGGGGACAGCAGCAAAAGGGUGGAUCGGCGUGUCAAAUUCAAUUCUAACUCACGUUAAGCGGUCGCUAUCGAGGGCGUACCGGCGAAUUAACCCACCAGAUAAUACCAUUACCGUGGAAGCCUGAAAUUACUGAACAUUACGUAUCGAUGCCAAUUACACUUGGUCGGUUGGUGUGUGCGCGUAACUGCGGACGCGUAACUGCAGACGCGCCAACCCGAAACGAUUACUUCAUUUACAUGUCGCGUAAAUACGCGUGGUUCUGCCACGUGGUCAGAUCGGCUCCUCGUCGAUUACGAACCAUCGAUUCCACCGAAAAUUACUUCCCAGAAGGGCAUACACGAGAAUCGACCAACGGAUUUGUUGGCCUGAAGCUUGUUAUCGGCCGUUAAAUGCCACGACGUAUUAAUAUCGCGCGCUAUGCGCUGUUACGCCGUGCUAUCGUAAUUUUAUGACUGCGCUGGUUUCUACAAUCUCUAUCGGAACUUGCCAACUCGAACUACCAUAUUUUCUAUUUCGAUCCUUGUAACGACCGUCGCCGUCGAAAUAAUAUUUUUUAACAGGUCGCUAUACAUGCACGACGUUCGUGAAGCUAACGCGCCUCCAUAGUCCGCUCGAGACUUUGAAUCGGUUAGUUUCGACGAAGAGAAUGUCGCGAUACAGUCGGAGAAAGAUGAAGUACCGCCAUUAGCGACAUUUGUACUUGUACGUCUUAAUUUUGAACGCGGAGUCUUUUAAAAAUUGAGUUCGUGCUUUAUGUUCAAUGGCAUAGAGAACGGCUGCAACAGCCUAAUAUUUCAACGCGAAUUCAUCUGGAGAAACUGCGUAGAGGCGAACAAUUUUUCCGUUUCUAAAGAUGCAAUAAAUAUCUGGUAUAGCGAAACAGUUUAUUUGCACGGCUGAACGUCUAACGGGAAUAAUUUAUAUCCAUACUUUACCUGCGAGAUAUCAAUCCUUCUAACACAAUAAGCUUUUAUACACUUUAUUAAACCGAGAAUUUAUAACUCGGAGAACUCGUUGCAUGGACAUUGAUUUGUUGUAACUUUAACUUUACCUAUUCGUUGUACCACGUUUAUUAUUUGCGACGAAUAAUUAAAAGUUCACGAGUUCA